rnacentral:rRNA from 1 species
CAGUCGCCGCGGGAAUACAGAGGGUGCGAGCGUUAAUCGGAUUUACUGGGCGUAAAGCGUGCGUAGGCGGCUUUUUAAGUCGGAUGUGAAAUCCCUGAGCUUAACUUAGGAAUUGCAUUCGAUACUGGGAAGCUAGAGUAUGGGAGAGGAUGGUAGAAUUCCAGGUGUAGCGGUGAAAUGCGUAGAGAUCUGGAGGAAUACCGAUGGCGAAGGCAGCCAUCUGGCCUAAUACUGACGCUGAGGUACGAAAGCAUGGGGAGCAAACAGGAUUAGAUACCCCAGUAGUCCCUGUCUCUUAUAA